rnacentral:rRNA from 1 species
CCUACGGGUGGCAGCAGUCGAGAAUCAUUCACAAUGGGGGAAACCCUGAUGGUGCGACGCCGCGUGGGGGAAUGAAGGUCUUCGGAUUGUAAACCCCUGUCAUGUGGGAGCAAAUUAAAAAGAUAGUACCACAAGAGGAAGAGACGGCUAACUCUGUGCCAGCAGCCGCGGUAAUACAGAGGUCUCAAGCGUUGUUCGGAAGCACUGGGCGUAAAGCGUGCGUAGGCUGUUUCGUAAGUCGUGUGUGAAAGGCGCGGGCUCAACCCGCGGACGGCACAUGAUACUGCGAGACUAGAGUAAGGGAGGGGGAACCGGAAUUCUCGGUGGAGCGGUGAAAUGCGUAGAUAUCGCGAGGAACACUCGUGGCGAAGGCGGGUUCCUGGACAUUAACUGACGCUGAGGCACGAAGGCCAGGGGAGCGAAAGGGAUUAGAUACCCUUGUAGUC